rnacentral:misc_RNA from 1 species
AUAUAGGACUCCUCCUGCAAGCAUUAUAAGCAAAUACAAAAUAUCAAUAAGAAACCAAAGAAAGCAUACACGCAUGUGCGUAAGGAACUAAGCAAGGACAAUCAGUUGAACAGAAAUGAAAAUACUGCAUCCCCAGACAACAUGACCCUCAAAGCUUUGCAAACAAAGCUUCAAUUAUUCUCCUUUUCUUUUAAAUCAUGGAAGGAAAA